rnacentral:rRNA from 1 species
AUUGAACGCUGGCGGCAGGCCUAACACAUGCAAGUCGAGCGGAUGACGGGAGCUUGCUCCUUGAUUCAGCGGCGGACGGGUGAGUAAUGCCUAGGAAUCUGCCUGGUAGUGGGGGACAACGUUUCGAAAGGAACGCUAAUACCGCAUACGUCCUACGGGAGAAAGCAGGGGACCUUCGGGCCUUGCGCUAUCAGAUGAGCCUAGGUCGGAUUAGCUAGUUGGUGGGGUAAUGGCUCACCAAGGCGACGAUCCGUAACUGGUCUGAGAGGAUGAUCAGGCACACUGGAACUGAGACACGGUCCAGACUCCUACGGGAGGCAGCAGUGGGGAAUAUUGGACAAUGGGCGAAAGCCUGAUUCAGCCAUGCCGCGUGUGUGAAGAAGGUCUUCGGAUUGUAAAGCACUUUAAGUUGGGAGGAAGGGCAGUAAGCUAAUACCUUGCUGUUUUGACGUUACCGACAGAAUAAGCACCGGCUAACUCUGUGCCAGCCGCCGCAGUAAGAC